UUCCGGUUGAUCCCGCCAGAGGUUACUGCUAUCGGUGUUCGCCUAAGCCAUGCGAGUCAUAUGUUCUUCGUGAACAUGGCGUACUGCUCAGUAACACGUGGAUAACCUGCCCUUGGGUCCGGCAUAACCCCGGGAAACUGGGGAUAAUUCCGGAUAACGCACAUAUGCUGGAAUGCUUUAUGCGUAAAAUGGAUUCGUCUGCCCAAGGAUGGGUCUGCGGCCUAUCAGGUAGUAGUGGGUGUAAUGUACCUACUAGCCAACAACGGGUACGGGUUGUGAGAGCAAGAGCCCGGAGAUGGAUUCUGAGACAUGAAUCCAGGCCCUACGGGGCGCAGCAGGCGCGAAAACUUUACAAUGCGGGAAACCGUGAUAAGGGGACACCGAGUGCCAGCAUCAUAUGCUGGCUGUCCAGGUGUGUAAAAUACACCUGUUAGCAAGGGCCGGGCAAGACCGGUGCCAGCCGCCGCGGUAACACCGGCGGCCCGAGUGGUGAUCGUGAUUAUUGGGUCUAAAGGGUCCGUAGCCGGUUUGGUCAGUCCUCCGGGAAAUCUGACGGCUUAACCGUUAGGCUUUCGGGGGAUACUGCCAGGCUUGGAACCGGGAGAGGUAAGAGGUACUACAGGGGUAGGAGUGAAAUCUUGUAAUCCCUGUGGGACCACCUGUGGCGAAGGCGUCUUACCAGAACGGGUUCGACGGUGAGGGACGAAAGCUGGGGGCACGAACCGGAUUAGAUACCCGGGUAGUCCCAGCCGUAAACGAUGCUCGCUAGGUGUCAGGCAUGGCGCGACCGUGUCUGGUGCCGCAGGGAAGCCGUGAAGCGAGCCACCUGGGAAGUACGGCCGCAAGGCUGAAACUUAAAGGAAUUGGCGGGGGAGCACAACAACGGGUGGAGCUGCGGUUUAAUUGGAUUCAACGCCGGG
rnacentral:rRNA from 1 species